rnacentral:tRNA from 1 species
GGAUUGUGGCCCAGUGGUAGAGCUCUUGCCUUGUGUGCAUGGGGCACUGGGUUCUAUCCUCAACACCA